rnacentral:rRNA from 1 species
CGCAGCCGCGGUAAUUCCAGCUCCAAUAGCGUAUAUUAAAGUUGUUGCAGUUAAAAAGCUCGUAGUUGAAUUUCGGAAUCAAUAUGUUGGUCGUGCCUUGGUACGUACUGGCGUCAUUGGUUUCUACCUUCUGAAGAACCUCGAUGUCAUUAAUUUGGUGUCUUGGGGAAUCAGGACUGUUACUUUGAAAAAUUAGAGUGUUUAAAGCAAGCUCACGCUUGAAUACAUUAGCAUGGAUAAUGAAAUAGGACGUUUGAUUCUAUUUUGUUGGUUUCUAGGAUCGACGUAAUGAUUAAUAGGGUAUAGUUGGGGGCAGUUAGUAUUCAAUUGUCAGAGGUGAAAUUCUUGGA